rnacentral:rRNA from 1 species
AUUGAACGCUGGCGGCAUGCCUUACACAUGCAAGUCGAACGGCAGCACGGGUGCUUGCACCUGGUGGCGAGUGGCGAACGGGUGAGUAAUACAUCGGAACGUACCUUAUCGUGGGGGAUAACGCAGCGAAAGCUGUGCUAAUACCGCAUACGCCCUGAGGGGGAAAGCGGGGGAUCGCAAGCACUCGCGCGAUUAGAGCGGCCGAUGCCUGAUUAGCAAGUUGGUGGGUUAAAGGACCACCAAGGCGACGAUCAGUAGCUGGUCCGCGAGGACGAUCAGCCACACUGGGACUGAGACACGGCCCAGACUCCUACGGGAGGCAGCAGUGGGGAAUUUUGGACAAUGGGGGCAACCCUGUUCCAGCAAUGCCGCGUGAGUGAAGAAGGCCUUCGGGUUGUAAAGCUCUUUUGUCAGGGAAGAAACACCGGCUCUAACACAGUCCGGGAAUGACGGUACCUGAAGAAUAAGCACCGGCUAACUACGUGCCAGCCGCCGCGGUAA